GGCAACCGGUUCGGCUUGCGGAGCCGGCUUCACUUCGGCGUCGCCGGCAGCGGCGACGGCGGCGGGCGCUGCGCCCGCGGUUGCUUC
rnacentral:tRNA from 1 species